UACAAUUGUUUAACUCUUUGUCUUAUUUAAAAUAUUUUUACGAUUAAUAUUUUUAUUGUUACAAGAUGAUAAAAUAUAAAUAAUAUUUUAUACGUAAUUAUUUUUUAAAAGUUUUUUUACAAUUUUUAAAUAAGACGAACGAUCAAACUUUGGACACAGAAAUCGA
rnacentral:pre_miRNA from 1 species